ensembl:lncRNA
CCCCCUUAUCACACCCAUCCGUUGGCUCCUGUUUGUAGGCAAAGACACGGAAGCUAAGAAGAGGGAAGUGAUGUGUUCAAGCCCCGUCCGGGUCAGUGGUGGGGUCAGGGUUCACUCUUCCGGUGUGAGUCACACUCAGAUGGAGAAACCAAGGCCCCGAGAAGAGGAGGUCACUCGAGGCCACGUGACUGUGGGGCUCCUGGACCCUUCUCUGCCCGCCCCGGGAAGUCUCAGGAGAGGAUCUGCCCUCUGGGUCUGGAGGAGAUGGUGUGUGCAGGAGCCAGAGGGUGGGAUGCUGGGCCCGCCCGGGCAGCAGGAGAGAGACGUCCUCUGCCUUCCCGCAGCUGUACCCCAGGAGAGCAGACAGGCCCUGCACCACCCCUCAUGGCCCCUGCUCCCUACGGACCUCCAGACCAGAGACCUGCUGAGCCUUGGUUUCCUCUUCGGCAUGAAGGAAGCCCAGGACCAGCACUGGAGGGGCAUCCAUGUGGGACACAGGCGUCUGAGACUGGGCUGAGUGAGAAGAGCUCUUCUCUGCUGCUGCUGUGCCCCCUGGAGGGUUGCCUGCCCUGUGGACAUCUCCUGGGGCCGGGGUGGGGGCCUGAGGACACUCCCAAGCCCCUAGACUAUCGAGUGCCCGGUGUCCCGCCAGCCGGGGACUCCAUGCUCUGGCUGUGGGACCUUGGGCCAGUCACUUGCUGCCUCUGAGCUCACGUUCCCAUCCGCACAGUGGAUGAGUGGUUGGGAAAGAUGCAAGGCUGACCAUGUGGGAUUCUGGGACAAAGAGAGCGACGGAGGUCCUCUUCCCCUGGCACAGGAGAAGCAUGCCCAUGCACGGGUCAGGGCAUGCAGGUCACUUCAGACCGCACCCCCAGCCUCACACCUGCGUGCAUUCGGUCAGGAGCAGGUGUUGGAGUCCGGCAGUCCAGUUCAAGUCCUGGUUCUGUCACUUAGUAGCUGCGUGUCCUUGGGCAAGUCAUUUAACUUCUCUGUGCCCCCAUUCCCCCAGGGGUAAAAAGGAGAUACGAAAUUCCUACCUCAUGUGGGUGUGGUGGGGAUGAAGCAGACCAACACAUAGGAGGAACUUGGAUGGAGCUCCGAGGGUGAGGAGUACCUAGCAUGCCUGCUACAGCCAUCGUCAGGGUCCUGAACCGCGGGCCCGAGAAGUCAAGGCCGUAUAGCUCUCCUCCCACUAGCCCUGGCUGCCUCCGGAUCACUGACGGAGCUGGGGCCAGCCCCUUCCCCUCGUGGGGCCUGGGUGACCCCGCCCAGAAAAUGACGCUCGGACUGUAAGAGGGCGGGAACCACGGUGUCUUCACUCUGGGUCCCAAGACGCAGAGCCGAGCUGGCACUGAGACGACAGUGAACAGAUCCGCCGACCAGGCGCCCUUGCCCCUCGGGGGCUGUUUCUGCAAAGUCCCGGGUCUCCAGCACCCCAGGGGGGCGGGGCAUGCCCACCCGCUACUCCCUCCAGCGUGGAACUUCGCUAAACAGCGAGAUGGGUUGUUAAGACCUGGAGAGACCCGUUCUCAGCUG